UACGUAGGGUGCAAGCGUUGUCCGGAAUUAUUGGGCGUAAAGAGCUCGUAGGCGGUUCGUCGCGUCGGCUGUGAAAACCUGAGGCUCAACCUCAGGCCUGCAGUCGAUACGGGCGGACUUGAGUACUGCAGGGGAGACUGGAAUUCCUGGUGUAGCGGUGAAAUGCGCAGAUAUCAGGAGGAACACCGGUGGCGAAGGCGGGUCUCUGGGCAGUAACUGACGCUGAGGAGCGAAAGCGAGGGGAGCAAACAGG
rnacentral:rRNA from 1 species